rnacentral:rRNA from 1 species
UACGGGGGGUGCGAGCGUUGUCCGGAAUUACUGGGCGUAAAGCGUGCGUAGGUGGUUUGUUAAGUCUGAUGUGAAAGCCCUGGGCUCAACCUGGGAAUUGCAUUGGAUACUGGCAGGCUAGAGUGCGGUAGAGGGUAGUGGAAUUCCCGGUGUAGCAGUGAAAUGCGUAGAGAUCGGGAGGAACAUCUGUGGCGAAGGCGACUACCUGGACCAGCACUGACACUGAGGCACGAAAGCGUGGGGAGCAAACAGG